rnacentral:sRNA from 1 species
GACAAGAUAAGAAUGCCUGCUUUUACAACUAAUUGAUCACAAUCAGUUACAGAUUUCUUUGUUCCUUCUCCACUCCCACUGCUUCACUUGACUAGCCUUUA